UAUGAAAUUUUUUUUUUGUUUUAAAACGGGUGUUUGUUUUUGAAACUACGCAGCACUUUUUUGAGCAGUUAAAAUCUGCCUUUUUCCGUAAACUAGCAAGUAUUUGUUAUGUAAUAUAGUCAAGGUUUCGCUAAAAAUCCCAAAAAUUUUACAAUUUGCGUUGGCACCAACUUUGGGUCUACAUUUGCAGUGCUAUCUAUAAGUGAAAGUCCGGACUAUACCGAGACACAGGAACGUAAUCUGACUACGUAACUCUUCCGUGCAACUAUUUAAUGGUAGAUGUCUCUGGCAGUUAGGUGUCUUAUUUUUAACACUUAAACAAUGAUAGCAUAGGCAAAAUUACACAAAUUUUUGAAUAAGAUAAUAUAUUGUUUUAUUAGGAUUAAAAGUGGUGAUUUUUUGGCGAGCAAAAUUUUGGGAGUGAAAAAACCCACUUUUAAUCCGAAUGAGACAUGCUAUUUUUUGUCCUGCUAUUAAUGUAACACAAAAAUAGGAAAUAAUUCAAUAAAAAAAAUGUAAUGAAAAUGGAAUCAGUAGCCUGGUAUUCACGUAGUCAUGAUUACCUAUUUUUUAUUUACGUUGUGUCAUUGAUUUUCAAAAAGUAUCAAAAAUUUAUUCAUUUUUCGCCAACAAUGAAUGUUGAAGAAGAUUUGCCUCCAGAUGUGGUUGAAAAGGCACAAAUAGUGAUUGCAGACUUACUUCCGACCAAAUAGCUUGAAAUCUCUGAGUUUACCUAUAAGCGCUUCGUGAGAUGGUGUAAGGAGAAAAACAUUGAAACCUAUUCUGAAAACGUUUUGAUGGUGUAUUUUGCCAUUUUGGGAAAAACAAUGAAAUCAUCCACACUAUGGUCGCAAUAUUCGAUGGCAAAGACGAGUUUAAAUAUAAAAAAUGGAAUAGAUGUAGAAACAUUUUCUAAACUAAGAGCGUUUUUGAAGAAACAAGCGGAAGGUUACAAGUCAAAGAAAUCAAGAGUUUUAACAAAUGACCAAAUAGAAGAUUUUUUAAGCUAUGCUCCAGAUGAAAAAUAUUUAUUUACGAAAGUCGUUGUAAUCUUCGGAGUGAGUUGCGCAUGCUGUUGUCAGGAAUUGGUGGAAUUAAGAAUGGACAAUAUUGAAAAUGUUAAAUCAGGUUUACUUGUAACGAUUCCUCAUACGAAAAAUAAAAAACCAAGAUCAUUUACCGUUAUGGAGGAAAA